UACGGAGGGGGCAAGCGUUGUUCGGAUUUACUGGGCGUAAAGGGCGCGCAGGCGGCUCAUUUUGUCAGGCGUGAAAGCCCCGGGCUUAACCUGGGAACUGCGUUUGAUACGGAUGGGCUAGAGUUCGGGAGAGGAGAGUGGAAUUCCCAGUGUAGAGGUGAAAUUCGUAGAUAUUGGGAAGAACACCGGUGGCGAAGGCGGCUCUCUGGACCGAGACUGACGCUGAGGCGCGAAAGCGUGGGGAGCAAACAGG
rnacentral:rRNA from 1 species